rfam:Aedes albopictus isolate Foshan contig92026, whole genome shotgun sequence.
AGCUUCGUAGCUUGGACGAAAGGAGCGCCUGUCUAGCGAAUUGGGAGUCGUGGGUUCGAUUCCCACCGGAGCUU